rnacentral:rRNA from 2 species
AGUCUGACGGAGCACGCCGCGUGAGUGAUGAAGGCUUUCGGGUCGUAAAACUCUGUUGUUAGGGAAGAACAAGUACAAGAGUAACUGCUCGUACCUUGACGGUACCUAACCAGAAAGCCACGGCUAACUACGUGCCAGCAGCCGCGGUAAUACGUAGGUGGCAAGCGUUAUCCGGAAUUAUUGGGCGUAAAGCGCGCGCAGGCGGUUUCUUAAGUCUGAUGUGAAAGCCCACGGCUCAACCGUGGAGGGUCAUUGGAAACUGGGGAACUUGAGUGCAGAAGAGAAAAGCGGAAUUCCACGUGUAGCGGUGAAAUGCGUAGAGAUGUGGAGGAACACCAGUGGCGAAAGCGGCUUUUUGGUCUGUAACUGACGCUGAGGCGCGAAAGCGUGGGGAGCAAACAGGAUUACAUACCCUGGUAGUCCACGCCGUACACCAUAAGUGGUAAGUGUUACAGGGUUUCCGCCCUAUAAUGCUGCAACUAGGGGAUUAUCCUCUCCGUGCGGCGAGUAAAGACACAAGAG